UACAGAGGGUGCGAGCGUUGUCCGGAAUCACUGGGCGUAAAGGGCGCGUAGGUGGUGGCUUAAGCGUGCGGUGAAAGCUCGGGGCUCAACCCCGAGUCGGCCGUGCGAACUGGGCUCACUGGAGCAUAGUAGAGGCAGGUGGAAUUCCGGGUGUAGCGGUGGAAUGCGUAGAGAUCCGGAAGAACACCGGUGGCGAAGGCGGCCUGCUGGGCUGAUGGCUGACACUGAGGCGCGACAGCGUGGGGAGCAAACAGG
rnacentral:rRNA from 1 species